AACCUAGCACACCUGCGGUGUGUACCUGCGGAGGGAUCAUUAAACAACUAGGCCGUAACAAGCCUUGAACCCUUCUCUACGCGCACCCUUACCUUCUCCUUCGGCGGGUCAGCGCCCGCCGUCGGAACCAACAAACCCCCUUUUGCAUCUAGCAUACCACCCGUUCCGAUACAAAACACAAUCGUUACAACUUUUAACAAUGGAUCU
rnacentral:misc_RNA from 1 species